UUUUUGUAAGGAUGUGUAAAUGUGUGAAUCGAUCAAUAAGUAAUAUAACUUCUCUUGGUACCUGCUAUAUUCUAGGUCCUAGCCUGAGUCCUUCUUUGCUCAAUGAGGAGUCUAAAGACCUUCCAUGGCUUUGGAGUUAUAGGGUGAAAGGAACCUCCAAAUGGCCCAAAAGCAAGAAAACAGAAGUGCCCUCCUCAUCACAAAAAAAAGAACUGAGAGAAAAUGUUUCAAGAUGUUCCACUGGAAAACCUCUCCAGAGUAAGGGUAUGAAGGUAUUUCUGGAGCUGAAAGGCAACAAAUUGAGAACUGGCAUGCACACCCCAAAAUAUUUCUGUGCUAAAUACAUCUUCCUACAGACACUUUUAAAGCUUUGAACUUGAAGAAAAAACACACUCUACAGGAGUCCCCCUAGUGAAAUGAGGACUGUGGUAAGUACUACAAUAAAGGUACUUAUAAAUUUGUAAUGAAUUUUCCUCAGGUCAAAUCAACCUGAAGAGUGUCCUAGCAACACAGUAUCAGUAAUAAACUAUUCUCUUCUGGCUGUGCUCUAACAAUCUAGUCUCUGAACCACCAAUUACCCACAAACAGCCCUAGUGUCACAUUUCUUGC
rnacentral:lncRNA from 1 species